UAAAAGCAUUAAAUGGAUACCUAAACAUCAAUUUUUAUGUGGACGUUAGUAACGAAAUUUUGGGGAAAAGUUUACUUUUGAAUCCCAAAGAUCCACAACGAAAAAUCGAAUUAAGAUAGAUUUUAAUUGUUUUUAACAAAAUUUAGUGAAUUGAAACAUCUAAGUAACUAAAAUAAAAAUCAACCGAGAUGCUGUUAGUAGUGGCGAGCGAAAACGGCGGAUAGACUUAAAAUAUUUUUAUUUAUUUAAUAAUAAAAUCCGAAGAAGGUUAAAGUCCUGUAAAAUAAAUGAUUAUAUUUUUAACUAAGUAAAGCAAUAUAAUUAGAUUGUUUAAAGUUGGGGGACCGCCCUCAAAGUCUAAAAAUUUUGAUGUUUGAUAGUGUAAAAGUACUGUGAAGGAAAGGUGAAAUAGAGUUUUUGAAUUUGAAAAGACUUUGAAAUUUAAUGCUAACAAGCAGUUGAAGCUUAUUAUUUUUAAAAGUGACAGCGUACUUUUUGUAUAACGGAUCAACAAGUUUAUUUUGGUGGCGAGCUUAAGCAUAAAUGCGUAGGCAAAAAGAAAUUGAGUUUAAAAUUGCGAUUUAGUCUCUAGAAUAAGACCCGAAACUAAGUGAUCUAACCAUGAACAGGUUGAAUUUUCGAGCGGUAACGCUUAUUGGAAGACCGAACCCGUGUGUGUGGCAAAAUACUGGGAUGAUUUGUGGUUAGGGGUGAAAGGCCAAUCAAACUUAGAGAUAGCUGGUUUUCUGCGAAAUCUAUUUAAGUAGAGCGUUUAAAAACUUUAUUUCGAGGUAGAGCUCUCGAUAAAUGAUGGGGAGGAUAAAUCUUACUGAAUUUAAUGAAACUUCGAAUACGAAAUAAAAGUUUUAAGCAGACAGACUAUGAGUGCUAAGAUUCAUAGUCAAAAGGGAAACAGCCCAGAUUAAUUGUUAAGGCCCUCAAAAGUAAUUAAGUGCGAAAAAUGUGAAAAGAUUGUGACAACCGAUAGGUAGGCUUGGAAGCAGCCAUCCUUUAAAGAAAGCGUAAUAGCUCACUAGUCGAGUCGGCCUGCGCGGAAGAUGUAACGGGGCUAAGCAAUAUACCGAAGCUGCGGAUUUGAAUAUAACUUAGGUUGUAUUUAAGUGGUAGGGGAGCGUUGUGUAAGUGGCUGAAGGUGUUUCGAGAGGAAUGCUGGACAUAUCACAAGUGCGAAUGCUGACAUGAGUAACGAUAAUGGGGGUGAAAAACCCCCACGCCGGAAGACCAAGGUUUCCUGUCCCAUGCUAAUCAGGGCAGGGUAAGUCGGCCCCUAAGGCGAGGCGGAAACGCGUAGUCGAUGGGAAACGGAUUAAUAUUUCCGUACUUGUUAUAUCAGUGAAGGGGGGACGGAGAAGGUUAUGCUAGCUUGGCGUUGGUAGUCCAAGUGAAAGUGCGUAGGGUUGGUGUUUAGGAAAAUCCGGACACCACAUUUAAAAGAUGAGCCUGAGACACGAGACGAGACUCUACGGAGUUGAAGUAGCAAAUACCCUGCUUCCAGGAAAAGCCUCUAAACUUAUGAUAUAGCGAACCGUACCCCAAACCGACACAGGUGGUCAGGUAGAGAAUACUAAGGCGCUUGAGAGAACUCGGGUGAAGGAACUCGGCAAAAUUGUACCGUAACUUCGGGAGAAGGUACGCCCUUGCUUGUGUAGUGCUUCGCGCAUGAAGCAGGUGAGGGCCGCAGUGACCAGGAGGCUGGGACUGUUUAUUAAAAACACAGCACUGUGCUAAAUCGAAAGAUGACGUAUACGGUGUGACACCUGCCCGGUGCCGGAAGGUUAAUUGAUGGGGUUAGCGCAAGCGAAGCUCUUGAUCGAAGCCCCGGUAAACGGCGGCCGUAACAAUAACGGUCCUAAGGUAGCGAAAUUCCUUGUCGGGUAAGUUCCGACCCGCACGAAAGGCGUAAUGAUUUGGAUACUGUCUCGGAGAGGGGCUCGGUGAAAUAGACUUGUCUGUGAAGAUGCGGACUACCUGCACCUGGACAGAAAGACCCUAUGAAGCUUUACUGUAACCUGAUAUUGAAAUUGGACUUUAUUUGCGCAGCAUAGGUGGGAGGCGUUGAAAGAUUCUUGCGGGAAUUCUGGAGCCAUCAGUGAGAUACCACCCCUAUAAUGUUAGAUUUCUAACUUUUACCAUUAUCUGGUGAAAGGACAGUUUCAGGCGGGCAGUUUGACUGGGGCGGUCGCCUCCUAAACGGUAACGGAGGCGCACAAAGGUUUCCUCUGAACGGGUAGAAAUCGUAUCUAGAGUGUAAAGGCAAAAGGAAGCUUGACUGUGAGACCUACAAGUCGAGCAGGGACGAAAGUCGGUCUUAGUGAUCUGACGGUGCUGAGUGGAAAGGCCGUCACUCAACGGAUAAAAGUUACUCUAGGGAUAACAGGCUGAUCUCCCCCAAGAGUUCACAUCGACGGGGAGGUUUGGCACCUCGAUGUCGGCUCAUCGCAUCCUGGGGCGGUAGUACGUCCCAAGGGUUGGGCUGUUCGCCCAUGAAAGCGGUACGCGAGCUGGGUUCAGAACGUCGUGAGACAGUUCGGUCCAUAUCCGGUGUAGGCGUUAGAAUAUUGAGAGGAGCCUUCUUUAGUACGAGAGGACCGAGAAGGACAUACCUCUGGUGUACCAGUUAUCGUGCCAACGGUAAACGCUGGGUAGCUAUGUAUGGAGUGGAUAACCGCUGAAAGCAUCUAAGUGGGAAGCCCACCUCAAGAUGAGUAUUCUCAUCACGUAAGUGAGUAAGGUCACGGUAAGACUAACCGUUGGAUAGGCAUCAAGUAUAAAUGUAGUAAUAUAUGAGCUGAGAUGUCCUAACAGACCGA
rnacentral:rRNA from 16 species